rnacentral:rRNA from 1 species
AUUGAACGCUGGCGGCAUGCCUUACACAUGCAAGUCGAACGGCAGCGGGGACUUCGGUCCGCCGGCGAGUGGCGAACGGGUGAGUAAUAUAUCGGAACGUACCUUUCAGUGGGGGAUAACGUAGCGAAAGUUACGCUAAUACCGCAUAUUCUGUGAGCAGGAAAGCAGGGGAUCUUCGGACCUUGCGCUGAUUGAGCGGCCGAUAUCAGAUUAGCUAGUUGGUGAGGUAAAGGCUCACCAAGGCGACGAUCUGUAGCGGGUCUGAGAGGAUGAUCCGCCACACUGGAACUGAGACACGGUCCAGACUCCUACGGGAGGCAGCAGUGGGGAAUUUUGGACAAUGGGGGCAACACUGAUCCAGCCAUGCCGCGUGAGUGAAGAAGGCCUUCGGGUUGUAAAGCUCUUUCGGCCGGGAAGAAAUCGCACGGGUUAAUACCCCGUGUGGAUGACGGUACCGGAAUAAGAAGCACCGGCUAACUACGUGCCAGCCGCCGCCGUAAUAC